GAUAACCACCGGAAACGGUGCUUAAUACUGGAUAUGUCCAGGGAGGCAUCUCUCUGGUGGAAAGAUUUUCGGUUUCGGAUCGGCUCACGGCCUAUCAGCUUGUUGGUGGGGUAAUGGCCUACCAAGGCGACGACGGGUAGCCGGCCUGAGAGGGUGACCGGCCACACUGGGACUGAGACACGGCCCAGACUCCUACGGGAGGCAGCAGUGGGGAAUAUUGCACAAUGGGCGCAAGCCUGAUGCAGCAACGCCGCGUGAGGGAUGACGGCCUUCGGGUUGUAAACCUCUUUUAGUAGGGAAGAAGCGAAAGUGACGGUACCUGCAGAAAAAGCACCGGCUAACUACGUGCCAGCAGCCGCGGUAAUACGUAGGGUGCAAGCGUUGUCCGGAAUUAUUGGGCGUAAAGAGCUCGUAGGCGGUUUGUCGCGUCUGCUGUGAAAUCCCGAGGCUCAACCUCGGGCCUGCAGUGGGUACGGGCAGAACUUGAGUGCGGUAGGGGAGAUUGGAAUUCCUGGUGUAGCGGUGGAAUGCGCAGAUAUCAGGAGGAACACCGAUGGCGAAGGCAGAUCUCUGGGCCGUUACUGACGCUGAGGAGCGAAAGCAUGGGGAGCGAACAGGAUUAGAUACCCUGGUAGUCCAUGCCGUAAACGUUGGGCGCUAGAUGUGGGGACCAUUCCACGGUUCCGUGUCGUAGCUAACGCAUUAAGCGCCCCGCCUGGGGAGUACGGCCGCAAGGCUAAAACUCAAAGGAAUUGACGGGGGCCCGCACAAGCGGCGGAGCAUGCGGAUUAAUUCGAUGCAACGCGAAGAACCUUACCAAGGCUUGACAUAUACCGGAAACUUCCAGAGAUGGUUGCCCUGCUUGCAGUCGGUAUACAGGUGGUGCAUGGUUGUCGUCAGCUCGUGUCGUGAGAUGUUCGGUUAAGUCCGGCAACGAGCGCAACCCUCGUCCUAUGUUGCCAGCACGUUAUGGUGGGAACUCAUGGGAUACUGCCGUGGUCAACACGGAGGAAGGUGGGGAUGACGUCAAAUCAUCAUGCCCCUUAUGUCUUGGGCUUCACGCAUGCUACAAUGGCCGGUACAAUGGGCUGCGAUACCGCGAGGUGGAGCGAAUCCCAAAAAGCCGGUCUCAGUUCGGAUUGGGGUCUGCAACUCGACCCCAUGAAGUCGGAGUCGCUAGUAAUCGCAGAUCAGCAACGCUGCGGUGAAUACGUUCCCGGGCCUUGUACACACCGCCCGUCAAGUCAUGA
rnacentral:rRNA from 2 species